UGGGGAUUGAUGGUUGCCCUCACCACGAGGGCGAUUGAUUCGUUCUUUCCACGACCGCCGCCAGCCACAGCCAGCGCCAGCGCCACUGAUCAUUGCGCUUCCAGCAGCCGAAUGUUUGAGAUUUCGUCGAUCUUUGACCCCUCGGGCAAGACUAUCCAGAGCAAAUUAGUGAAAUUACCAAACAUAAAUAAGCGAAAAAGAAUUCACUAAUAAUUAGAGCACAGAUCUCAAUGCACUAAAAGUGAUGAUCCCGAGAAUGAUCAUCAAUAGAUCAUCGAAAUGAGAAGCUCAUCAUCGAGAAGAAGAAAGAAUCCUUGUUUCUCUCAUGGUAUGGCUCCAUUGCUCCUCCUCCUUCUCUUCGUCCUUGUGAUCCCAUCCUUGGCUGGUAAAUCUAGUGGAGUUUGUGUGUCUCCUGGUGGUCGCUUCCCUCCAUUUUCAUCUGAAGGGAAGGCCCCUGGAUUUGUCUCCAGAGGACCAAGAGAUCUGGCGCUUUGUAGGGUUUUCAGAAAGAGUACUUGUUGUGAUUUAGCUCAGACUUACCCUGCUUUGUUGGCUAUUAGAAGGUUGGCUUCUGCUGGAGAAGCCAGUCAAGAGUGUUUCAGUUUGUGGGAAUUGUUGGAGUGCUCUAUAUGCCAUCCUCUUGUUGGUGUUCAGCCUGGGCCUCCUCUAAUUUGUGAAUCUUUUUGUGAUGGGAUUUUUCAGGCUUGUGCCAAUGCUUACUUCUCCAUUGAUGAAAAGACACAGGUAUUGUUUCCAUGUGGACCUAGUGAUGUCGUUUGUGGCAGGGCAAGCGAAUGGGUCUCAAAUGGUACGGAACUCUGCCACUUAGCGGGUUUUGCGGUGCAACCGGCUAAUUUUAUCUCCCGGAGUGACAGUGUGCCCUUCUGUUACGGAGAGAAAUCAAGCAUUGAAUCAGUUGCUGGUUCAUGGAGCACUCCUCGAUCUAGGUCCCUUUUUAAGGGUGGGAACUCUAUGGUGCUUGAAGAUUUUCGGCAAUGGUUGGGCAAUACUGAAAAGGUUUCAUGGGCAAUUGGAGGGAUGGUUCUCACUGCAGGACUUCUCUUUGUAAGGGCAAAAAGAGUUCGCCGAAGGAUGUGUUGAGGCGCCAGGGCCUCGCCUACACCUGAGCGCCUUUCUCGCUUUUAAUAACACUGAUGUGCAAUGAAACCAGCUGGGGCAUGCAAGCAAAAAAAACACGGCGUUUUCUUUUGGGUUAUAACCAUCCCAAAUUCGCGCUCAUCGAUCACUGCGAUCUUUCGCCAUUCUCCGGGGCAGCAAGC